AAUGGGUCAGCGACUUAUAUUCUGUAGCAAGGUUAACCGAAUAGGGGAGCCGAAGGGAAACCGAGUCUUAACUGGGCGUUAAGUUGCAGGGUAUAGACCCGAAACCCGGUGAUCUAGCCAUGGGCAGGUUGAAGGUUGGGUAACACUAACUGGAGGACCGAACCGACUAAUGUUGAAAAAUUAGCGGAUGACUUGUGGCUGGGGGUGAAAGGCCAAUCAAACCGGGAGAUAGCUGGUUCUCCCCGAAAGCUAUUUAGGUAGCGCCUCGUGAAUUCAUCUCCGGGGGUAGAGCACUGUUUCGGCAAGGGGGUCAUCCCGACUUACCAACCCGAUGCAAACUGCGAAUACCGGAGAAUGUUAUCACGGGAGACACACGGCGGGUGCUAACGUCCGUCGUGAAGAGGGAAACAACCCAGACCGCCAGCUAAGGUCCCAAAGUCAUGGUUAAGUGGGAAACGAUGUGGGAAGGCCCAGACAGCCAGGAUGUUGGCUUAGAAGCAGCCAUCAUUUAAAGAAAGCGUAAUAGCUCACUGGUCGAGUCGGCCUGCGCGGAAGAUGUAACGGGGCUAAACCAUGCACCGAAGCUGCGGCAGCGACGCUGAUGCGUUGUUGGGUAGGGGAGCGUUCUGUAAGCCUGUGAAGGUGUGCUGUGAGGCAUGCUGGAGGUAUCAGAAGUGCGAAUGCUGACAUAAGUAACGAUAAAGCGGGUGAAAAGCCCGCUCGCCGGAAGACCAAGGGUUCCUGUCCAACGUUAAUCGGGGCAGGGUGAGUCGACCCCUAAGGCGAGGCCGAAAGGCGUAGUCGAUGGGAAACAGGUUAAUAUUCCUGUACU
rnacentral:rRNA from 1 species